UAAUAAACUAUUUAAAGUGUUCCAAUGGAAACAAAAAUUGGUGUUGUGAAUUUGAGUCUGUAUUGUUCUCUGCUUUCCUUUUGGUUUUUUUCGCUUGUCCCUUCCUGAAAAUUUGUGCUCCGCUUUUGCCUUCUACCUGCUGCUUAGUUUAGGGUAUUAAAUUUCUUUGUUUCUUCAGAAGAUGCCUUACUCUUUGUUGAUAUAUAUAAGUGAAUUAGUUGCAAAACAGGGGAGUCUCUUAUCUCACGCUGCAAUAUAUACUCUACAGUGCUCAUUGGCUACUGCAAGUGCCAACAGUAGCUGUCUAUAUGAUUUUGGAUGUAGAGAUAUCACCAAAACAUUCAACUUUAUACUGAGAAACUAGGAAACCAUACACUAUUGUGGCUAAUUGAUUUUUGUCUGCUGCUUUUGUACUUUAAGAUCACUAUCAUUUCAAUCCUGUAGAAGUUAUAGCAAAUAGAAGGCCCAAGUCCAACACUAUUCAUUUAAGUUCAGUUGCAACUCAAGGUUGACAUUGAAGCACCAAUGCUCAUGGCAAUAGAUUAACCUUGAAAUUUAAAGCGGAACAAGCUUCAUGCAGCCAUCCAAGAGGUCAUCAUC